GACGAACGCUGGCGGCGUGCUUAACACAUGCAAGUCGAGCGGUAAGGCCCUUUCGGGGGUACACGAGCGGCGAACGGGUGAGUAACACGUGGGUGACCUGCCCUCAGCUCUGGGAUAAGCCUGGGAAACCGGGUCUAAUACCGGAUAUGACUCCAUGACGCAUGUUGUGGGGUGGAAAGCCUUGUGCGGCUGAGGAUGGGCCCGCGGCCUAUCAGCUUGUUGGUGGGGUGANGGCCUACCAAGGCGACGACGGGUAGCCGGCCUGAGGGGGCGACCGGCCACACUGGGACUGAGACACGGCCCAGACUCCUACGGGAGGCAGCAGUGGGGAAUCUUGCGCAAUGGGCGAAAGCCUGACGCAGCGACGCCGCGUGAGGGAUGACGGCCU
rnacentral:rRNA from 1 species